rnacentral:misc_RNA from 1 species
GAUGAAGAACGUAGCGAAAUGCGAUACGUAAUGUGAAUUGCAGAAUUCAGUGAAUCAUCGAGUCUUUGAACGCACAUUGCGCCCCCUGGUAUUCCGGGGGGCAUGCCUGUCCGAGCGUCAUUGCUGCCCUCAAGCACGGCUUGUGUGUUGGGCCUCCGCCCCCCGGCUCCCGGGGGGCGGGCCCGAAAGGCAGCGGCGGCACCGCGUCCGGUCCUCGAGCGUAUGGGGCUUCGUCACCCGCUCCGUAGGCCCGGCCGGCGCCCGCCGGCGACCCCCCUCAAUCUUUCCAGGUUGACCUCGGAUCAGGUAGGGAUACCCGCUAAACUUAAGCAUAUCAAUAAGCGGAGGA